AUUUGAUAUAUAUUUUUGCAUCUUAUAUUUUUACUUUUAAUGUUGUCUGCCUUUCUAACUUGGUUUUAAUCUGCUUUUCAGGGUUGAUCUCAGCAACAUCACUGUGGUAGAACUUGUGCAGACAGCUAUGAGAGAACCCGGAUAACUGGGCUCUUUUCAUACUAUAUGUCUGGUACUGAGUCCUGAUGCAUCUUCUACUAAGACAGUAGAAUCCAUUGACUUUAGUUAGGCUGAGCUUAUAGUAGCCUGUCACAUCAGCCACCGAUUUAUUUGUUCUCUGUACUUUUUGUUUUCUCAGAUGCAGCUUAGAUUGGAUCAUCCAAAUGUGUCCUCGACUGGCUGUGUUAGCUAAAGCCCAUUGCAGCACUCACAGAAGGCCUCUGGAUGGGAAGGCACUUACAGGUUCAAUCACUGAAGUGAAAUUAACUUGACGUGAACCCAUCAUGAUGAAGUGGUCUUGCCAAGAAUGAAGCAUCAGAAUAACACAUGCUGGAGCCUUAUACAGUAUUGGAAUCCCAAGCCAUGUGGAGAACCCAGAAGAAUUUUGGACUUUUUUUCCUAACCUUGUCCUAGUUUGAAAUGAAGUUUCCAACUAUGAAUUUGUGAGCUGAAAGGAGUAAAGAAGCAUGAAUUUUUUCCUGCUACAUUUUUCUAUUACUUUUCUGUGAUCAACCUGUGAUUUUAUACACGUCCGGUUACACUGAAUAAGCAAUGGCAAAGAAAGAGUCUCUUCCCAUUCAUAGGUACAGCUUCCCAGAUUGUGACUAUAUCUCUGCUUGUAGUGCAUUGAAGGGG
rnacentral:lncRNA from 1 species